GGCAGCUGUUGCUAACUCCAAUCAUCCUUGGGCUGAGGAUCUGAGAAUGAUGGGAAGCGUAGUCCAGAGUCAGAUCAAUAUUCUGCUGUGCGUUUGAUAAUGAGUUUUUGCUGUGUGUGUCACUGACAGACAGUGCUGUAUGGGAUGGCUUUCUUCUUGCAUGCCAAGAGGCUAGCAAACGAGUCCCUGCUGUGAGUUCAGAGCCACGUCAGAGCAUUGCGAUCAGUACGGUUCUCC